CCACAUUUUCUCAGCCUUCCUUCUGUCAUUUAUGUACAGUUUCCAUAAAUUAUGAUAGAAACUGUAUCUGUAUAUGAAAAUGUGAUGUUCUGGAAACCUUCUUUGAAUUAUGAAGGUGGAGCUGAAGCUAACAAAACAGAAGAAAAUUAAUCUGAUCUUCAACCUCAGCUAAUUUCCAAACAUUUGAGGAUCCUGCCAACAGACAGGCUUGAGCAUCAACACAGCUUAUAUAACUUCAGCCAUUGGAUUACCUUUUACUGCUGUUCAAGUACCUUCUCAUUGAACAUCCCUGCUCCAAACUCAAGUGAACUACAAUGAACAGUAUUUCAGCCAAAACUGUGUCUCAAAAUAAGCAUUCCAGUUCACUGCUGCUUCUUCCAUGGUUAAAGGCAAAUGCUAUGAUAAACAGAAUGGGGAUCAAACAAGCAUGCAGAAACAGAGCACUGAUCAUUGAAACAACAAUGGUUCUGACUCAUUCAAUACCAGCAAAGCUUAAGGAAAUCCUGCAAGAAGUGAGAAUUCGCCAUCCAGCAAGGUGUUUUGCAAAAGUGUACAUGUAAUUCUGAAAUGGUACUGAAGGUCAUUGUCAGAGAUAUACAAACUCAGUGGAUCUGAGGACAACUGCAGUAGCAAAGACUGAUUCCCUGUAAAAUCUUGUGGGCCGUGAGAUAUUCACAUCUUGCAAUCAGUUAACAUUCUCUCUUUCAAUCUUUCAUCUUGCCUGGUAGUAAAGUGGAACGAACAACCUCGGUCAUUUAAAAAUAAUAAUAAUAAUAAAAAGAAUGUCUUAAUUUCUCAGUCUUACCCACAGACAUGGA